rnacentral:tRNA from 1 species
GUUCAGUGGCUCAGGGGUAGAGCACUCGUCUAGCAUGUGCGAGGCCCUGGGUUCGAUCCUCAGCACCA